CCUCCUUUUCUUGGCAGGGAUUGGGAGUGCGGUCCCAGGCCCUGUAAUAAAUGGAGGUAGAGGGAAAGAGCUCUGGUCCUCUCCGUGUCUUGUCUUAGGUACCAGUGGCUUCCAGUUUACCAGUUGUAUCCUCAAAUGCAGGGAGAAGG
ensembl:snoRNA